rnacentral:rRNA from 1 species
GACGAACGCUGGCGGCGUGCUUAACACAUGCAAGUCGAACGGAAAGGCCCUGCUUUUGUGGGGUGCUCGAGUGGCGAACGGGUGAGUAACACGUGAGUAACCUGCCCUUGACUUUGGGAUAACUUCAGGAAACUGGGGCUAAUACCGGAUAGGAGCUCCUGCUGCAUGGUGGGGGUUGGAAAGUUUCGGCGGUUGGGGAUGGACUCGCGGCUUAUCAGCUUGUUGGUGGGGUAGUGGCUUACCAAGGCUUUGACGGGUAGCCGGCCUGAGAGGGUGACCGGCAACAUGGGGACGGAGAUACGGCCCAGACCCCUACGGGGGGAAGCGGGGGGGAAUAUUGCAAAAGGGGCGGACGCCUGAUGCAGCAACGCCGCGUGCGGGAUGACGGCCUUCGGGUUGUAAACCGCUUUCGCCUGUGACGAAGCGUGGGUGACGGUAAUGGGUAAAGAAGCACCGGCUAACUACGG